UGAUGAUCUGCUGAGGAGUAUUUAAGGAGGAGGCUGCCAGCAACUCACUGCCAGAGUGUUGCCCUUUGUGGUUACCUGAACCUGACUUUGUCUUCAGCAUCGAGCCCUGCCUGGAUUACCGUCUUCUGGAAAAAAAACUAUCCAGCUCCAUGAACCAAGACUCAAGCCUCCUGUUACCUCAUUGGAUCAAACCAGAUGGCAGUCUCCUGAUUCCUUCGUUCCGUGGAUCUCCCUCUGCGAACCCUGUCCACCCUCCUUCUUCCAUUGCACCAACUACAGAAACUCUGGGACCAUCAAUCAUCCUGGCACACCAGUGUUCACUGUCUCCAGUCCCACGGGUAAACAACCUCCUGUUCUCUCCACCCCCCUCUGGCGGAUCUCUCCUUCAAAUCAUUGGUAUCCCGGUUCCAGUUUCCUGCACAUUUCAACAUACUGUUAAUAAACUCCUUACCAUUGAA